rnacentral:rRNA from 1 species
AGAGUUUGAUCCUGGCUCAGGAUGAACUCUGGCGGCGUGCUUAACACAUGCAAGUCGAACGGGAAUGCCACGCUGAUGCGAUUUCGGUCAAAUCAUGUGGCAUUCGAGUGGCGGACGGGUGAGUAACGCGUGGGUAACCUGCCUUACACAGGGGGAUAACACCUGGAAACAGGUGCUAAUACCGCAUAAGCGCACAGGGCCGCAUGGCCCGGUGUGAAAAACUCCGGUGGUGUAAGAUGGACCCGCGUCUGAUUAGCUUGUUGGCGGGGUAGGGGCCCACCAAGGCGACGAUCAGUAGCCGGCCUGAGAGGGUGGACGGCCACAUUGGGACUGAGACACGGCCCAAACUCCUACGGGAGGCAGCAGUGGGGGAUAUUGGACAAUGGGGGAAACCCUGAUCCAGCGACGCCGCGUGAGUGAAGAAGUAUUUCGGUAUGUAAAGCUCUGUCAGCAGGGAAGAAAGAAAUGACGGUACCUGACCAAGUAGCCCCGGCUAACUACGUGCCAGCAGCCGCGGUAAUACGUAGGGGGCAAGCGUUAUCCGGAAUUACUGGGUGUAAAGGGAGCGUAGACGGUGAUGCAAGUCUGGAGUGAAAGGCGGGGGCCCAACCCCUGGACUGCUCUGGAAACUGUGUAACUUGAGUGCAGGAGAGGUAAGCGGAAUUCCUAGUGUAGCGGUGAAAUGCGUAGAUAUUAGGAGGAACACCAGUGGCGAAGGCGGCUUACUGGACUGUAACUGACGUUGAGGCUCGAAAGCGUGGGGAGCAAACAGGAUUAGAUACCCUGGUAGUCCACGCCGUAAACG